AUCUGAAAACUCCGCUUCCAAUUAAGAACUCAAUCCAGGUUGCCGCUGUAUUUUCCAUCAUGGAACUUCUUAAUAGAUAAGGAAAAUGAGACCCAGAGAGGCUGGAGAUCAUGGCCUUGCUCUUCCGUGCCAAGUUGCUGGACUCAUCUCCUCAGAGUGCUUCCUUUGAACUUCUUUAAUGCCACUUGACCAGACUUCACGUUGGGCUAUACUCAUGAGAUUUCCCUCCAGAAAUAGCCAAGGUACCAGCCGUGCGAGUACAGAAACUUGCAGAUGAUUCCAACCCCAGUCAUUUUAAUCACCCCCAGACAUUGUUCCUAGCUGAGGCCCCAGAUAUUGAGGAGCAGAGACAGGCCAUCCCCACUGUACCCUGUCCAAUUCUUGAUGCUCUGAAUCUGUGAGCACUAAGUUUGGGGUUGUUUGUUACACAGCAAUAGGUA
rnacentral:lncRNA from 1 species